ACCAUUCACACAUAAAAUGUGCUGAGUCACUUUGUAGUACAAUGGCUACACAUAAAAUCGAAGUGCAGGUGUCCUUAAUUGUAUUCAUUAUUGACCAAACAUAGGCUCUGGAUAACGAACCUUGACGCUCUUUGACGUCAUCAUGAUUAUAAGGAAACAUCGAGAAGCUCGAGAAGUAACACAUGAUGGCUAUGAAUAAUUAUAUGCAUAUACAUAUACGUACGUUACUGUGCCGUCUAUAUAGCUUGCUUACCCUGAUGCUUAGUUUGAGUGAGGACUAACUCUAGCUAGCAUCUGGCUCUCAUUGCGUUUGUUAUAUGUCUAUGUGGGCAUACUAUUAUCGAAAUUAGAACAUUGCAAUGGAUACCAAUAACGACUCCAUGUAUACUCCAGGGGCUAAGCAGAUAGAGGUUGAAAACAAAAGGCUGGCCAGCUCAACUGAACGGGUGAAAAAAAAUUUCAAACAACAUUUGAUGGAUAUUCUGUGUCUGAUUAUGCUUCAAGACCUUCCUGCAAUAAAAAGCUUUCUUCUGGCAAACACAGUCCGGCAUCGGAUUCCUCCCAAACAACAAUCUCGGAUCCCAAAAGCUGAUUAUAAGGAAUUGCAGCAAAUUGCUUCGAAGGCGUUUGAAUCGUUUUUUAGUCCAGUAUUCCUCGAUGAAGUACCCCACCACCUACCCGAUAAGAUUAACAACAAGGAUAUCCUGUCAAAAUUAGCUGAUAUGAGAACCAUGGUCCAAGAUUACUUCAAUGGGACGGGAAGAGUGAUUAUUGAUCGAACAAAGAAGAAAAUUGUUAUCGUCUUUGAUUCAUCGUACAUGUACGAUAAUAUUCCAGACCGUCAAUUAGAAGAAUUGUAUACGACAGCUCUAGCAGCAACGGGUGAGAUUUAUGACACGAAUAUGACAGUUGGCCAUUGCGACAUUAGAACAGCUCUCAUUAUGAGACGAAGCUUGUUUGAAAGGCCGAUUGAGGAAUCACUAGGAGAAAACGAUGACAUGGAAGAGCUGGUAACAAUGGGACGAGGCAGUGGGAGGAAAAGACGAAAAUUUAAUAACACCACGAAUACUUAUAUAGGCUCCGAAUCUGGCUACACAAUGAACUUUGUGUCUCAAGCCGAAGCCGAAGCCGAAGCCGAAGCCGAAGCUGAAAUCGUAGUCUAAGAAUUUUAUGUUGGGUUUUUCCUCACAUUUGCAUGCAUGGAGGUUUUUUCCCUGCUUUAUGUUGAGCCUCAUAAAGCAAAAUGUUCUGUAUAAUGCUAAUUUGUGAUGGCUAUAGUCUAGAUUAGUUGUAUAUCAUGCAGAAGCUCCGGCUGAUUGAUAUUAGUUUGUGUAUGCAAUGACCCGAAAAAUUUAAUCAAAAUAUGAAAAACUCUCUAAAA